AGCAGCCGCGGUAAUUCCAGUUCCAAUAGCGUAUAUUAAAGUUGUUGCAGUUAAAAGCUCGUAGUUGAAUUUCGGGGUUAGUAGGUUGGUCGUGCCACUGGUAUGCACUGGCCUCACUGAUUCCUCCUUCUUGAGAACUGUAAUGCCAUUAAUUUGGUGUUGCAGGGAAACAGGACUGUUACUUUGAAAAAUUAGAGUGUUUAAAGCAGGCUAAACGCUUGAAUACAUUAGCAUGGAAUAAUGAAAUAGGACGUUUGAUCCUAUUUUGUUGGUUUCUAGGAUUGACGUAAUGAUUAAUAGGGAUAGUUGGGGGCAUUAGUAUUCAAUUGUCAGAGGUGAAAUUCUUUGGAUUUAUUGAAGACUAACUACUGCGAAAGCAUUUGCCAAGGAUGUUUCAUUAAUCAAGAACGAAAGUUAGGGAUCGAAGACGAUCAGAUA
rnacentral:rRNA from 1 species